rnacentral:rRNA from 1 species
CCUACGGGUGACAGCAGUGAGGAAUAUUGGUCAAUGGACGAGAGUCUGAACCAGCCAAGUAGCGUGAAGGAUGACUGCCCUAUGGGUUGUAAACUUCUUUUAUAUGGGAAUAAAACGUUCCACGUGUGGGAUUUUGUAUGUACCAUAUGAAUAAGGAUCGGCUAACUCCGUGCCAGCAGCCGCGGUAAUACGGAGGAUCCGAGCGUUAUCCGGAUUUAUUGGGUUUAAAGGGAGCGUAGAUGGAUUGUUAAGUCAGUUGUGAAAGUUUGCGGCUCAACCGUAAAAUUGCAGUUGAAACUGGCAGUCUUGAGUACAGUAGAGGUGGGCGGAAUUCGUGGUGUAGCGGUGAAAUGCUUAGAUAUCACGAAGAACUCCGAUUGCGAAGGCAGUUCACUGGACUGCAACUGACACUGAGGCUCGAAAGUGUGGGUAUCAAACAGGAUUAGAUACCCCAGUAGUC